rnacentral:rRNA from 1 species
UGUCGUGUUCCCCCCACCUCCCGUUGGAUCCUGUAAGCUAAGGAGGGUCAGGUCUGGUUAGUACUUGGAUGGGGGACCACCAAGGAACACCUAAGUUCUAUAC